AUAAGGAAGGGAAUGGAAAAUGAAGAUAUUGACCUUUUUCUUUGCUCUGUAGUAAGGUAUCAAUAUGGACUUUUCAUUGAUUAUUUCCAAAAAUUUUCACUCGCGAAAGUGUAUCGUACGCUGCCUGUGGUGCUGCCAACGUGGCUCAUGGACGUCGAACUCCGGAAUAAGCUGCAUGAUCUGGUGUGCCAGGGUGGUUCAUCUGUUGUUACCCUUAUGUCACACACAGACCCAUCCGAGUGUUUUCGUAGUAAUGGCUCUGUAUUUAUGUCUCUCAAAUGUAGCAGCUGUACAAACAACUUGGGUGCGACCUCGGUCUAGCCCCAGAUAUCGAAUCGCGUUGGCGGUAACACAGAACCACGAAAUGCUUUUUUGUACUUGCUGGAGAUGGUGUAUCCAAAUCAAACUUCACUUCCAAUACCCUUCAUUCCAGGCUUGUAGGUUGGUGAAAGUUUGGAAAGACAAUCAUAUCGAGAAACCUUGCAUGUCCAUCAGGCGUGUCACGAUGUCAGACCCCGGUGCCGGUGCCGGGAGGCACUUGCAACGUUAUCUUGUCCAAAUUUCUUUCCAAUUAGAACGAGGCAUGUUGUUGAACAUCGACAACUUAUCGGGACGAGAUGGAGAGCGUUAGAAUGACAUCACACUGCGAGUGCUUUUCUAUCACCGGUAAUGCCGGAUUCAUGUGGCCGGUGGUGCACUUCCGCGAAACGCGCGCAUCCUCGUCGUUGUUUUAUCCAAGUAGCCAUGUAAUGGCCGCCGUUUGCGUGACAGACAGACAGACAGAUAGAGCGUGAAACGUCACGGUACUCGUCAUGGUCCCAGUCUGCUGGCAGUUCCGGAACAGUUAAAUUGGCCUGGGUAAUCGGAUCGCUGGCGCCUGCUAGGGGCGGUUACAGUGGCCAAGCCGUGAAGUGAUAAUGAGGGGCGCUAAGCUCAACGAUUAACUUCUUAAACAAUCCCUGGCACACCAUUAUCCCACACCCCCUCGACUGGCCACGUUGUUUGCAUGCUUUUUAUCAAAAGUUUGAGCAAAAGUCCGGGUGUAGUUGUCGGUCGCGUGAUACUAAUUGGAGUUGGCCGGUAUACAAUGAAUCACUGGCCGUGCAGUACACCCUCAGUCACCGUUCCACGUGGUUGAUUACAGCGCCGCGAGAUGAGUGAACCAUUAGUUUGUUAGCUACUUUUUCCCGUGGCUGGUGACACAUUGGGCCACUGGAUAACAGGGGACGAAAGCUGUGACUGUGUGUAUGACGUACGGGGUUCGAGACUGGAGAUAAUACGCAUGAUUCGCUCCAAUUAAGACACAUCUUGCGGGAUACGUCACCGGAAUUGGUUGAAACAUUUGCUGGUUGGUCGAGAAAGAACUCAGUUCUUGUCUUGGAAAUACUACAUGGCACGUCAUCUUGUAAGGUUGGGGGAUUCGCGUCUGGUUCUGAAGAGCUUCAACAAGAGUACGGAACCAGUGCCCAAUCUUCCUUCCAAUGUUUCAAUCAACACGAUUCUCCACAACGACAUCGACCGAGAGCAAAACUCCAUAAUCCAUCGUGCGGCGUAUGCGUUCUCAGUUCGAUUAACAUUAAUUAACCUUUUUAUGCCGUCUUCUCUGGCGGCGGCAGAAUUGUGACUUAACGUAUUCAAUCUUUUCGAUAAUGCUGGCUGUGGCAUCUUUCCACUGCUCUGUAAUGAACUCUGGGCAACCAGACGAGUGGUCGAUAGCACCGUCCCUUUGAAUGUCAUGCUGUUGCAACAGCUUUGAAAACGUUUGCAUUUUUCAUGGGCUUGGUCGCCAGGUCAGGCCACUUGGUCACACAAGCACACAAUCCUUCAUCAGCAUCAACCCACCGUUAGCUUCCGGGAGAAGCAGCAUCAGAGUGCCGUUAUGGUAGAUCCCUUGAGAGGGGACGACACACUGGGGCUAACCCAUUAAACGCUUGGCACAGUAAUCGCCCGAUGCGCGAGCACACAUCCUUCGGUUUCGCACCAUCAUCAGGCUGGCGCUAUAAGGACCCUAAGGAGAAUCAACGUCCCCCGCGCGUUAUAUGUCAUUAAACUGGGCACUUAUCACGCUCCAAAACCUCUCCCCCGGCAGCCGCAGGGUCGCCGCGUGAUGUAAAGAAUGCAUUAUUAAUUCUCCAAGUUGUAACCACGCUGUUCUUCGUUCGGUUUUGUCUAUCGCUUUAUUGCAGUGUUUAAAGUCAAUUCAUUCAACCGGUUCUGUGUGGUUCCGUUUAAUACAGCAUCGGUAGCAUCGGCAGCAUCAUCAGCGUCUCGUUUCAAAGGCAUUCCUGCGUCAGGAUGCCAUAUGUGUGUGUGUGUGUUGGGAGACGCUGGCAGGAAUUUCUCAAUUGAUUUUUGAGGUUUUGAUGCUGUCAGUCAUCCAACGCUAAUCAUCGAACUCCGGAUAACGCCUCAUUGGCUGAUGCGGAUGACGAUGCGAAAAAGGGUUCCUUCCUGCCACAGGAUUACCCCAUAUAGGGGCCGGUACCGUUCCGGUAUUUCACAGUUCAAAGGCAGUUUAUAUAUGAUUAGUUCACAAUUUACGAACGUGGCCGUGACGUGAUUUGCUUGUGUGACCGAACACGAUUAUCCGCUUUGUCCGAAACAUGUGUUCGCUAUCAUGCAAAUCGAUAUCGGUUCCCCUUUCCUUGUCACAAUUAUUACCACAGUGUCUCUUACAACUCGUAAAACAAUCGAUUGCUGGUCGUGCAAUUGCGAGGGAAAGUUUAAUUGAAACACUAGCCACCCAGACAGUGCUCGUGUUUCAUACGCUCUUUCUCACGUGGAAGCUCGUCCACAUCAAUCAAUUGUCGGUGGUCCGAGGGACAAAGUGUCGUUUACUAUGAUCCGUUGCUGUGGCGCACAUCUUCUCUCCACCACCACACAGCAGGCAGGUCAGAGCCGUAGCCACUUAACACGUUAACCUUUUCCUAUUUGAUUCGAUUCUUUGCCACGAACCAGCACUCCUUCUUCUCGGACGCAGCACGAUCCUCUCAAUCGGAUCGCCGUUAGAUGUUGAGCAAACGAUCGCACUACUACGGUUACUAUGAUCGAAACACUCUGUCUCUCUUCGUUAGAAUCGCAUUUUGCAGCUUGUUAGUCAAAAGCGACAAAGUAGGCGAGCCCAGCUAACCAUGUCGGACGGGCCUCUUUGUGGCUCCAGUUCAUCGUAGCUGGCUUCGAAUUCGAAUUUAAAGUCCAUUGACGGCGGUUCGACCAAAACGAGAGCACACCAAGGGCACGCUACCAAAGAAAAGUCCUCCAAAAAUGCCAACAAAUUCCACUCUCAUCGAAAUGGCAUUGAUGCACGGGGGGGUGUCUCGAAGGUUCAGCACCUUCGCUCAGCAUCAGCUCUUCAGUGUGGUCGAAACCGGUUCUUCAACGUUUCCAUGAACGCGCGACUAUUGCGAGAUUCCCGCCGGAUCGCCAAAGCUCGUAGUCGUCGAGUUGCAAAUAACCUUUUCGCCUUCGCAUGUAACGGACCGUUCGUGAGGUUGCUGGAAGUGGUGGACAUAUUUGCUGGCUAUACGGCAUUCGACAUCGACAACCAUCACCUGUCGACCACUUAACGAGCGAGCGUUCUCGUAUUGUCACCAUCGUAUAUGCCAUGAUGUAACUCCGGGACUCGUGCAUCAGAUAGCGACAGAACACGUCGCCUCGCUCUCGUCGCCAUGGCAUCGCCUCUCUCUAUCUCUCCUGAGGGGGGCAAGAAUGUUGAUUCGCUAUCACGAUAAACCUGGAAUAGCGCAGUUCUGUUGCGGUGGAAGCACCAUAUCGAACCAAAGAUUGUAGAGUAGUGAACGAAUUAAAAGAUUUGCGAUCACUACUCGUAAGGGCGUUACUUUGACAACAUUUGUUUUACGAGGAGAUCGCUCUUAUAAAACGCUCGCUCGUUGUUUAUCAAAGGCUGUGGCUUCUCGGCCCAGAACGUCACUGUAACUGCUGCACCGUAGAUGUAAUCCGCGAUACACCACAACCCACGAGAAGCGGGGUUUUUAUGGAUUUUAGUGUCCAUUUUGUGCACGGUCACGUUUUGUGAGGUAUGAUUUAUAGUUGCUGGGAGCUGGCGUUCAGUUCUACGUUCCCGUUCUGUUCUGCUGGAAGCGGAAGUGCUGCAGACACCACAGAAUGCACACUAGGAUGGACGAUCAAAGGACACUACAGGAUCGAUCGUCUGCACACCAUGGAUCACCAAGCUGUUCCACAGGGGCUAAUAACCGCAGUAAGAAUGGCGGAUUGGCGUAUUUUAAGGUGCGUACACCACCUUUACUGACCACACACACCGUACGCACACACGAAC